rnacentral:rRNA from 1 species
UACGUAGGGCGCAAGCGUUGUCCGGAAUUAUUGGGCGUAAAGAGCUCGUAGGCGGUUUGUCGCGUCGGGAGUGAAAACGCCGUGCUUAACACGGCGCUUGCUUUCGAUACGGGCAGACUAGAGGUAUGCAGGGGAGAACGGAAUUCCUGGUGUAGCGGUGAAAUGCGCAGAUAUCAGGAGGAACACCGGUGGCGAAGGCGGUUCUCUGGGCAUUACCUGACGCUGAGGAGCGAAAGUGUGGGAGCGAACAGG